GAUGAACGCUAGCGACAGGCCUAACACAUGCAAGUCGAGGGGCAGCGGGAAUUAAGCUUGCUUAGUUUGCCGGCGACCGGCGCACGGGUGCGUAACGCGUAUCGAACCUGCCCAUGACUUGGGGAUAACCUUGCGAAAGCAAGCCUAAUACCCGAUACGCUUCAUAGAUGGCAUCUGAAAUGAAGUAAAGGUUUACGGUUAUGGAUGGGGAUGCGUCCGAUUAGCUUGUUGGCGGGGUAACGGCCCACCAAGGCAUCGAUCGGUAGGGGUUCUGAGAGGAAGGUCCCCCACAUUGGAACUGAGACACGGUCCAAACUCCUACGGGAGGCAGCAGUGAGGAAUAUUGGUCAAUGGAGGCAACUCUGAACCAGCCAAGUAGCGUGCAGGAUGACGGCUCUAUGGGUUGUAAACUGCUUUUAUGCGGGGAUAAACUGACUCACGUGUGGGUCAUUGCAGGUACCGCAUGAAUAAGGACCGGCUAAUUCCGUGCCAGCAGCCGCGGUAAUACGGAAGGUUCGGGCGUUAUCCGGAUUUAUUGGGUUUAAAGGGAGCGUAGGCCGUUGUUUAAGCGUGUUGUGAAAUGUCCCGGCUCAACCGUGGCACUGCAGCGCGAACUGGACGACUUGAGUGCGCGGAACGUAUGCGGAAUUUGUGGUGUAGCGGUGAAAUGCUUAGAUAUCACGAAGAACUCCGAUUGCGAAGGCAGCAUACGGCAGCGCUACUGACGCUGAAGCUCGAAAGCGCGGGUAUCGAACAGG
rnacentral:rRNA from 1 species